AAUCCUGUCUCUUCCACCUCCAGAGGACACGGCCUUGGUUAAGUCACUCUCCUGAGCCUCUCUGGGUCUCGCUUCCUCACUGACAACAGGGGAUGGCACUAGCGUCCCGUGCUGGGGCUGGGCGUGGCUGCGGGGAGUGACGCUAUGUGAGGCUGAUGCACAGGCCUAGCACACAGGGUCAGCAGCCUCAGCUCUGAUGGCUUGUAAAGGGAGCAGUGACUAUAACACUGUCCAACUUCCCUCUCACCACCUGACCAGGGAAAGCCUGACGGCAGGUAGGGGAUUUGAGCUGCGCACGUGGGCUCGGGUAGGCAGGGAGGGGAGGAAGGCCCUCCCGUGGCUGUAGGCCAACGUGGAGGCCUCUGGGCGUGGGGUGUGCCCAGGUGGGGGUGGAAGAACACCUCAGAGGCCCCCCUUGCAAUUUCCGCAGAAAGCAGAGGUUGGACUAGGUAGAUUUUAGUGCCUGGGAUGCUUUGCUUGGGAGCUCGAGGCAUGACUUUUCUUUUUGCCCUUCCUGGUCCCCCUGUCUACCUCACUCUCUUCCGUGGCUUGUGGAUGCUUGGAUUGUGGCUUCUGGUCAUAAAUGAUGAGAGAGAGAAUUGUGCCGCUUGCCUGGCUCUCCCUGGACAAUUGGCAAGUGCCCAAGACAACCUCAGGGUAUAGGAGCUGCUCUGCAGCGAGGUGAACUGCCUUUGUUACCAGGUUGUGGAAUUGCCAGCAGUUGACUACUUUGGAUGACUUGGUCAAUCUAAUAAGUGUGGCUCUGGAGUCUCGAUGACUUUUCUUUCUCUCCAGUGAGAGUGAAGUUCUGUCUCCCACACCACACUCUCCUCACUAAGGAAUUAAAGCUACUUUACACCUCUGAUAUGAGGAAAGCGUUUCCCACGGCGCACACGCUCGGUGAGGACUCCGUGUGCAUCGGCCGCCGUUACCUCCAUUUCCUGAGAGCGUAGCGAAAGUCCUGCCAUCGUCCCCGUUGUCAGAUGUGGAAAAUCGCACGUGAUGCUUUGGACCCGAGCUGCGCAGCUGCAGACCAGCGCCGCGGUCUGGCGUCGUCCGCAGCGCCACACUCUGCCUUGGGCCUCAUCGCUUCUCGGAGCCGCAAGUCUGGGAACUGUCAGAGAGGGGCUCUCCCAUCUUUGAUGGUGGCUCCUUACAAAGUCCACGUGAGCACAUAAGAAGCUUUCUGUGUUUCUCAUGUUUCUCUGUUGCUUUUGCUGAGAAAAGGGUGACUGGAGGACGUGAGCCUCCCUGGCUGGGGCCGCCCUCCCCCCUCCACACUUAGGACGCUUUUCCUCAGCGGUCUCCCUGUCUGUGUCCUCUGCCCCCAGGGACUGUCAGCAUUGAGACAGUUAGAUCAUUGCUUCUCCCAGGUUUUUAUUUUUAAUGAAUGCCAACAGGGGCUAUGGGAGACCAUGGUGAACUAUAGAAGGCGUUCUCAGACUAUAGGCCCUCUGAUUAACUUUUUAAAAAGGUGUUACAGAGGUCAGUCAAAACAAAAACCCAAACAAGCCGUGCAUCCGAGGGCUCUGAUUGCAGGGCAUGGAGAGGCAGCAGCAGAAGCCUGCUUCCCUCCUGCCUUUGUGUUCGAGUGUGGGGCUCUCAGAGCACCUGCUUCCUGGAGGCCUAAACAACGGCUGUGGUCCGCCAGAGCGUAGCAGCCGCCACUCCUCAGAGUCCUGCGCCGUCUCCCUCUCUGUGGGGCCUGCCCCGUUCAGGGUGGAGCACGGUGCCUUUGACGUGUGUGUCAUAUACAUGUUAGGGGGCUGCAGUGGCUCCUCCAUCCCUGCACCGACUCCCUGCACGCUGACCCAGCUGCCAUCGUCCGAGUGCAGGGUGUCCGUGCCUGACGGCACACGCACCGCCCGACCCUCCGCCGGGGUCAGAGCCAUUCUGUAAAAAUGCAGACUCGACCCGCUCCUCAUCCCACCUGCCUCCUGCCAGGAUGCUUAGUCCAAACACAGAGGAAGAAUGCUGCGACCUUUCCAAUGCGGCCCCUCUGCCCCAGGUUGCCUGUGGGCUCUUUUGCUUUAAUUGUGGUAAAAUACACAUAAUGUAAAACUUACCAUUUUAACUAUUUUUAAGUGUAGCAUUCAAUGGCAUUAAGUGCACUCCUGUUGUUGUGCAGCCAUCACCACCAUUCAUCUCUAGAACUUUCUCCUCUUCCUAAACUGAAGCUCUGUCCCCAUUGAAACAGACUCCCUGCCCCCUGCCCAGCCCCUGGCACCUGCCUUUCUACCUCCUGUCUGUGACAACUCUAGGGACUGCAUGAGUGAAUCAUAGAAUGUCUGUCGUUCUGUGACUAUUUCACUCAGCACAACAUCCUCAAAGUUUAUCCAGGUUGUAGCAGGUGUCAGAGUUUCCUUUCUCAGGCUGAGUGAUAUUCCCGUGUGGAUAGACCACGCUUUGCCUGUCCUUUCAUCUGUCAGUGGGCACUUGGCCUGCUUCUCCCCUCGGCGGUUGUGAACACUGCAGCUGUGAACGUGGGCGUGCAAACAUCUGUGGGAGUCCCUGCCGGCUGGGUCUUGGAGGCACCGUCCGCCUCUGACCGUGCUGUCCCGUGUGCGGCCCCUGCCAUGACACGUGGGCCCAGCCUGCCAGCUCCUGCGUGCCCUGCCAAGGCCCAGGGCAAGGGUCUCUCCCCCAGGACCCCUGCGCCCCCAGGCUGAGAGUGGGCCCUUCCUCCAAGUCCCCUGCACAUGGUGCACCUUGGCCCCCACCCUCGCACCCUCCACACUGUUGAAACCGGGUGCGCCUGCAGCUUCCCUGCCCAGCUGCAAGUCACUUAGGCCGGGACGAGGCUGAACCUUUUGUGACCCCACAAACAAGCGUAUGCACUGAUCAGUGACAAGAGAAUCAGGUACUGUGGACGGUGUGGUGAGGACUCAUCUCCAAACCCAUUCUAACCUUCAGUUUCACCUCGUCCCUCUUCCUCAACGUCCACCCUCUUCCCUGCCAAGCCCCAACGUCACUAACCCCUCCUUUGUUCAGGGGGCACUGCCGGUUGCUGCCUCUCCUGACCGCAGCGCCUGCCCGUGUCCAGACGCCCUGUGGGAGGAGGGCUGCGGCCACCGACUCGGCAGGGCAGCUCCCUUGUCCUGGAAUCAUGACCAGUGGCCUUUGUUUCAGGAAUCCUGUGCUUUUAUUUUCAUACGAUGAAAGGUGACACUAUUCACAAUGGAAAAAAUAUGGCAAAAUAAAUAACAGAAACCACUUUUCAUUGACUUCCCAGGUCAUGUCCCCUGACCUCAGGUCUCGGUGGUCAGCCCUGGGCUAACUGCUGAUGGCGUGGAGAGAUUAACCUCACAGUCUCGUUGAUUUCCUUAUUCGUCAAUUUCCUUGGUUUUAUGUUUCGAGUUUGCUGUGACCUGCAGCUUGGCCCCUCCAGAGAACAGCUCCAAUUUGUCACGGGCCAACCCAGAUGCCCAGGGGAGAGGUAGUCGCAGGUCAGCAUCUUUGGGGACAGCAGUCUGACAGUCCAGACAAACAGAAAUAUUUAUUUGACUGACACUCGCUGGGAGGCCCCCAUCCGCCUACAAAUCCUGCCGUCUCACACAAAAACGGUAUCUGCCACACCACAGCUGGAAGGACAUUGCCAAAGCUUAUAAGAAACCCCCUUGAUGGUUAACAACGGCCCUAUGGUCACCACCCCCACCCUCCCCCACCCACCCCUGAAAGCAAAUGGCAUGAACUGUGUUCUUCCUUCUGUGUGUCUGAGGCGGUAGCUAAGGUUACAUAUUAAAUGGCCUCCUUGGUACCCAUUUUAUAAUAAACCAUUUAGCGACUAGAAAGGCUGCAUGUUUGUGCUGGGCAGUUAUUUGUUUCACUGAGAUUAAAGAACUCUGAACUUUCA